UACUCCUCAUGUCUGAAGAAUUGGGACAGACAUAAAUAUUACACAUGAACAACAGCCCGCCUGAAUCACGUGUGCUCGGUCUCCAGCAAGGGAUUUGCAAAAAAAUGAGUCACCGGUCUCGGUGAAUGAGAUUUCACUUCCUGCAAUAUUGUGAGCCAGUGUUUCCGCUCCAGCCGGCAUACUAGAUCUACACAGCAUGUGCGCUGUCUGCUCAGCCCCGCAGAGAGCGAGUUAACCCCAUCCAGCUGAGUGCACGUCGGUGAAAGUGCUCCGACACGUCGUGCUCGAACGGAACCAUUGAAUUCAAACCGUGAACUGGAGUCAGAAAAGGUCCGGGGGGGGGGCACUUGUGUUUCUGCAGGUUGCCUGUCAGCUGCUUACCUGGGAGCCGGUGAUCCACCCAGGAGCUGUGUGGGUGAUCUGUUCAGAAAGGCUUUAUAAAGAGUGGCAGGCAGCCAGGACUGAACACAGAUCAACCUGAGAGGAGGAGUUGGAGACAUCUCGCCAGAACAAUCAACUACAUUUGGUAUUGUACUUGCACUUGUAUUAUGAAUGUAAACAAAUGGACAAGAUAUUAUCAUUAGUCAGU
rnacentral:lncRNA from 15 species